GGGAAUGCCUAGGCUCUCAGAGGCGAUGAAGGACGUGAUAAGCUGCGAAAAGUUGCGGGGAUCUGCACACAAGAAUUGAUCCGCAAAUAUCCGAAUGGGGCAACCUGGCAUAUUGAAGAUAUGUUAUCCGCAAGGAGGCGAACCCGGAGAACUGAAACAUCUAAGUACCCGGAGGAGAAGAAAACAAAAGUGAUUCCGAUAGUAGCGGCGAGCGAACUUGGAUUAGCCCAAACCAAUAUUGUUACGGCAAUAUUGGGGUUGUAGGACUACGAUAUUCUGUGCUUUAUGAAUUAGAACGCUUUGGAAAGAGCGGCCAUAGACGGUGAUAGCCCGGUAUAAGUAAAGACAGUUACAGAUAGUAGUAUCCUGAGUAGUGCGGGGCACGUGAAACCCUGUAUGAAUUUGGCGGGACCAUCCGUUAAGGCUAAAUACUCCUGAGAGACCGAUAGUGAACCAGUACCGUGAGGGAAAGGCGAAAAGAACCCCUGUGAGGGGAGUGAAAUAGAACCUGAAACCGUAUACGUACAAGCAGUGGGAGCCCUUCGGGGUGACUGCGUACCUUUUGUAUAAUGGGUCAGCGACUUAUAUUUAGUAGCAAGGUUAAGCGAAUAGCGGAGCCGUAGCGAAAGCGAGUGUUAACUGCGCGUUUAGUUGCUAGGUAUAGACCCGAAACCGAGUGAUCUAGCCAUGGGCAGGUUGAAGGUUGAGUAACAUCAACUGGAGGACCGAACCGACUAACUUUGAAAAGUUAGCGGAUGACUUGUGGCUGGGGGUGAAAGGCCAAUCAAACUCGGAGAUAGCUGGUUCUCCCCGAAAGCUAUUUAGGUAGCGCCUCGGACGAAUACCACAGGGGGUAGAGCACUGUUAAGGCUAGGGGGUCAUCCCGACUUACCAACCCUUUGCAAACUCCGAAUACCAAUGAGAACUAUCCGGGAGACACACGGCGGGUGCUAACGUCCGUCGUGGAGAGGGAAACAACCCAGACCGCCAGCUAAGGUCCCAAAAUAUUGCUAAGUGGGAAACGAUGUGGGAAGGCAUAGACAGCUAGGAGGUUGGCUUAGAAGCAGCCACCCUUUAAAGAAAGCGUAAUAGCUCACUAGUCGAGUCGGCCUGCGCGGAAGAUGUAACGGGGCUAAGCAAUAUACCGAAGCUGCGGCAGCAUAGUUUACUAUGCUGGGUAGGGGAGCGUUGUGUAAGUGGAUGAAGGUGAGUUGUAAAGCUUGCUGGACAUAUCACAAGUGCGAAUGCUGACAUGAGUAACGAUAAGGGGAGUGAAAAACUCCCCCGCCGGAAGACCAAGGUUUCCUGUCCCAUGCUAAUCAGGGCAGGGUAAGUCGGCCCCUAAGGCGAGGCAGAAAUGCGUAGUCGAUGGGAAACGGAUUAAUAUUUCCGUACUUAUAUAAUCAGUGAUGGAGGGACGGAGAAGGCUAGGCAAGCUUGGCGUUGGUUGUCCAAGUGAAAGCGAGUAGGCCGAGAAUUUAGGUAAAUCCGGAUUCUUAAAGCUGAGACGCGAGACGAGCUCCCAAGGGAGUGAAGUUGUUGAUGCCCUGCUUCCAGGAAAAGCUUCUAAACUUAUGAUUAUAUGAACCGUACCCCAAACCGACACAGGUGGU
rnacentral:rRNA from 1 species